GACGAACGCUGGCGGCGUGCUUAACACAUGCAAGUCGAACGGAAAGGCCCUGCUUUUGUGGGGUGCUCGAGUGGCGAACGGGUGAGUAACACGUGAGUAACCUGCCCUUGACUUUGGGAUAACUUCAGGAAACUGGGGCUAAUACCGGAUAGGAGCUCCUGCUGCAUGGUGGGGGUUGGAAAGUUUCGGCGGUUGGGGAUGGACUCGCGGCUUAUCAGCUUGCUGGUGGGGUAGUGGCUUACCAAGGCUUUGACGGGUAGCCGGCCUGAGAGGGUGACCGGCCACAUUGGGACUGAGAUACGGCCCAGACUCCUACGGGAGGCAGCAGUGGGGAAUAUUGCACAAUGGGCGGAAGCCUGAUGCAGCAACGCCGCGUGCGGGAUGACGGCCUUCGGGUUGUAAACCGCUUUCGCCUGUGACGAAGCGUGAGUGACGGUAAUGGAUAAAGAAGCACCGGCUAACUACGUG
rnacentral:rRNA from 1 species